UCAAAAUGACAGUUUCCAUGUGUCUGUUAUUAUGUUCAGACAGAUAACAGUAUUAUACAUGGUUCAUGUAGUCAGGAAAUCUGCAUUACGUCCUAGAACAAUGAACGAAGGCACAGCAAAGUAGGAGGAUGUUCAUGUAGAAACCAGGCGAGUGUAGCGGGCACCAGGGCCCCCACCCAGAGCGGCUGUUACGUCUCCGUAAAGUGCCGUGGUGGACUAAAGCAUGACGAGAUUGAGAAUCCUUAUCAGACCAUUCCCUUUUUAAAGCAAGGUUCUUCUAGAUCUUAAACCGCUAAAUGGAAUUCCAAAAAACUUUGUAGGUGUUAAGAAAACGCUGUGAAGAUGUUCAUAUAACCAAAAACCUUCCACUUCAUUAAUUUAUACUGAAUAUAUAGUACAUAAUGAACAGUUUCUAAGCGCAACUCCUCGCAAACCGCUGCACGGAAUUUUGUAAAUCCUUCUAGCUUUUUAUAUAUAAUUAGGACAUAAUGUGUGAACGUGCAUAAUACCAGUAAUUACUAAUUCCAUCAUUUUUUGCGUUUCUGUACAUUUCAAUUUAUAAUUUUAUUGUCGUUAAAAAAACCAGUAUAGACAUGCAUGUCAGAUUGCAGGAAAAUUUGAUACGAUAGAUUUUUGAGGAGUUAUGUCCCUUUUAAAAUCAAAUCACUUUGUUUAUAAAAAUACAUAUCCUGCUUUUUAUACCUGAUAAACCACCAUACUGAGGUAGAUUCACAAUACUUAGAUGAUUAUUUUGAUCCAUUAUUGUCUCCUUGUUCUUUGUAAACUGCACAGAGUCUGACUAUUAAAAAAAUAUAACUAUAUGGAUAGUUAAAUGUAUUUUAUUCCCUUUCAUAUGUACAUCAAAUGUGAAUCAAAAAUGAGAUUACUUGGGAAAAAACAUAACAUGAAGCGCAAAAAUGCAGUAUCUGUGCAUACAAAAAACAGCACCACUGUAAAAGAAGCUGAUCUGACUUUCAGUUCAGGGAUGACGUUAAAAUCAAUAGUAUUCUCAUAUCUAGAAAUGUUAUUAAAAAAAACUGUCGUUUUACAGGGGGGCAUAGAAAGAUUUUGUACUUGAGUUCGGACAACAUUAAAUUUACUUAAUAUUUCAAUUUUUAAUAUUUAGGAUAAAUUUAAAUAUAUUAAACAAGCUUUGUCCCAGAUGGAUUAGAUUUUAGCAAUGUGCCAUUUAACUGACUAAAUUAAAGUGGAAUUCUGUAGAUAUGUACACCUAUAAAAGCUAGUCAUCCCUAUAUUUCAUGUUAACUAAGUUCAAUGAUCAAUAUCAUUUCUAUCAGCUAUAAUUAUUAAUUUUAAAUUAUUAAAACAUUGAUCAAACAUUUAUGCAUGUACAAUGGUUGUAUGUAUUUAAACUUCUCAAAAAAUAUUUUCAAAUACUUCAAGUUGACAGACAUAGAGAUAAAGGGAAAAAAAAAUGGGUGAACAAUAUUGAAUAAUUGUUUUAAGAAGACAUAAAAUUUUGGAAUCAACAUGUAAGUAAAACCAAGAUACAUGUAUAAUUGAUGAGAAUUUUCAUUUUAAAAAGCAGUUCUCUGAGAAAUCAUUUACCCA